UUGCUCAAGUCCCUUCUCAAUUAUUCCGUGUUAACCUUUCGCCUUUUACUAAAGGUUACCGUGGGAGGGGGCUCUAAUGAGCCUUCAGGCCAAUUUUUGGGAGGCCUUGCCCGUUUGGGUGGGGC